rfam:Selaginella moellendorffii unplaced genomic scaffold SELMOscaffold_0, whole genome shotgun sequence.
GGGGAUGUAGCUCAGUUGGUAGAGCGAUCACUUCGCAUGCGAUAGGUAAGGGGAUCAAUGCCCCUCAUCUCCA